CAUAUACUCCCUCCAUCCAACAAAAGAUAUCUCAAGUUUGUCAAAAUUUGGAUGUAUCUAGACAUGACUUAGUGUAUAGAUGCAUUCAAAUUUAGUAAAAGUUGAGACAUUUUUUGUUGGAAGAAGGGAGUAUAUA
rnacentral:pre_miRNA from 1 species